rnacentral:sRNA from 1 species
GGGGGGGUUUUCGAGAUAGAUUUUGAACCUGGCUUGGCUUGGCAGACUCAGCCCCAGACUUCGCGCGGUAAGGGGGGAUUCUUGGGGCCUUUCCAAGUUAUGGCUGUUGUCUGCAGGCUCUCGGGUCGGAUAGAAGAAUAGAGGAUGGAAUGGUGGAGAAAGGUCCCAAAUCCUCCCAUAUGCCCGUCGCUCACGAGUUAAGAGGAGUGGUGGUGGUUGAGGGGGAGGAGGAGAAACAUGAGGGGCGAAGGAAGGGAUUUCCAGCCCUAGCGUCCUAUGCCUCGGCAUUAUAUUGCUGGGUGUAGAGAACGCAGAGAACGGUUCGCUGCGUCUUCUUUUUUUUGCAUCUUGUUCCUGCGAUUGUUUUUGCGGAAAAAUUCGACGAUGGAGG